GUGAGGAAUAUUGGGCAAUGGAUGCAAGUCUGACCCAGCCAUCCCGCGUGCCGGAAGAAGGCCCUCAGGGUUGUAAACGGCUUUUGACGGUGAAGAAUCGACAGGAUGCGUCCUGUUUUGACGGUAGCCGUUGAAUAAGCACCGGCUAACUCCGUGCCAGCAGCCGCGGUAAUACGGAGGGUGCGAGCGUUGUCCGGAUUUAUUGGGUUUAAAGGGUGCGUAGGCGGUUUAAUAAGUCAGUGGUGAAAGCCCAUCGCUCAACGAUGGAACGGCCAUUGAUACUGUUAGACUUGAAUUACAAGGAAGUAACUAGAAUAUGUAGUGUAGCGGUGAAAUGCAUAGAUAUCAUCCAGAACACCGAUUGCGAAGGCAGGUGGCUGUACCUUAAUCGACGCUGAUGCACGAAAGCAUGGGGAGCAAACAGGAUUAGAAACCCUGGUAGUCC
rnacentral:rRNA from 1 species